UCCAGACUCCUACGGGAGGCAGCAGUGGGGAAUAUUGCACAAUGGGGGAAACCCUGAUGCAGCAACGCCGCGUGAGUGAAGAAGUAUUUCGGUAUGUAAAGCUCUAUCAGCAGGGAAGAAGAUGACGGUACCUGACCAAGAAGCCCCGGCUAACUACGUGCCAGCAGCCGCGGUAAUACGUAGGGGGCAAGCGUUAUCCGGAUUUACUGGGUGUAAAGGGAGCGCAGACGGCAGUGCAAGUCUGGAGUGAAAGCCCGGGGCUCAACCCCGGAACUGCUCUGGAAACUGUGCGGCUAGAGUACUGGAGGGGCAGGCGGAAUUCCUAGUGUAGCGGUGAAAUGCGUAGAUAUUAGGAGGAACACCAGUGGCGAAGGCGGAUAACUGGACGGCAACUGACGGUGAGGCGCGAAAGCGUGGGGAGCAAACAGGAUUAGAUACCCCCGUAAA
rnacentral:rRNA from 1 species